GCCCGGGCUAGCAUUUCCGCGCCACAGGCCCUAAAGGCGGCCCGCAGGCGCUGGGAAACUGACGGACUUGGCCCGGCCCACCCUCUGCUCAGAGUUAAAGGAGAAGGUUGCAGUUUCAGUACCAACAAGGGCUCAAAUAAAUAAGAGAAACUCAGUGACUCCAGAAUCAUCUGAGGCGAGUGACUGCUUCAUUCAUGGAGCCAGAGCAGAAGGAAGGACCAGAGCCACUCCAGGGAUGGAAAACCUAAAGGUGUCAGGUUGCAAACAAUGGUUGACUUCCGAAAAUGGAUGUUUCUCUCCAUAGGAAAUGUACAAAGAGGGUCUAUGAAGAGUGUCACUUGUGGAAAGCACAGAACGGACACAUCAAGGAUCAUGCUUCUAAGGAAAAGGCUUCUGAGUUUCAGCACAGCAUCUUCCACUCAGAAGUGUCCAUUUUGUGAAAGCCAAGAAAAAAACAUGAAGUCUUUUAGCUAGAAAAUGUUAUUUCCCGCGUGUCCUGUCAACAUUUUCAAAGUAACUGUGAUACAGAAGCAGCAUUUACAAUUACUUUCAGAAAUAAUUUUGUUUGAUUAUUCACCCUUCGCAAUUAAACCGAAGCAGUUUUUGUCUACUGUAGUAAGUCAUUAAAAUCUCCCUUAUUGUAAUCAUAUUAAAUUAGCUGCUUUUAUGUUGUACAGACAUUUUAACACUCUCAUUGAAUACUUGGCAACUAAAUACAUAUUUAAAAGCUAUUCUCUAGAUGUUAGCAUAUAUUUAAAAAUGCAUUAACACAAAAGGCAAAAAACUACUUAAAUUUAAUGAACUUAGUACCUACAAAAAUGAAUUUUGAAAUUAGAAAGCCAAAAGCUGAAGUAUUUGUUAUGUUGGUAUUUUAUUUGUGCUUUUUAGCAAUGUACAAAUUAUGUCUUUAGUACUGUAGAGCCCUAAACACCAAAGUACAACUUACAAGCUGUUUGCUUAGCUUUAAUACAGUGACUCAGGGCUCUAGUGUAUGUAUAGUUCUAGAAUUCGCCAAACACCUGGCUAACAGGAUUCACACUGUUGUCCCUAUAAUGUUUCUUCACCAUUUUAUGUGUUCAGUGAAUUCCCAUUUAUUCUUCAAACCUAACUCAAAAGGCACUUCAAUUUUAAUGCUUUCCUGUUUCCAGGAAGGAUGUCUCCCUGUUUCCAUGGCAACUUCCCACCUCUUUUUAAUUACACAUAAAUUAUCUAGGCUUCACAAAUGUGUGUUUGCAUUUAACACCUAAAGAUGGACCUUACAUUUUCUCAAAUAAAGUUUGGUGAAAAACACGAAUGAGCACCAUACAUUGUCAUCAAAAAGCUUAGAAUUAAUACAGAAGCAAUUUAAAGACUUUCAAUAUUCAAACAAAUAACAGCUGCCUGCAUUUGUCACUACUAGAGCUGGAUAGCAAGAGAACAAAGCUGUUAGGUCACUCCAAAAGAAUAUGCAAUCGAUGAAUGGUAGAGGGGGAUAUUUAAGUCUCCAGAUUUUAAACACCAAGUCUAGCUCUCUUUAUGCACAUAUACCUUCACAUGGCACCCAAGGUUCACGUAGCCUGGGUUUAUUUUGCAUUUUUCCUUUAUAUUUCAUAGUUUAUUCCAAUAAACAUAACAUGCUCUUCUA